UAAGACGUAGGGGGCGAGCGUUGUCCGGAAUCACUGGGCGUAAAGAGCUCGUAGGCGGGGCUGCGCGUCGCGGAGUAAAUCCAUCUGCUUAACGGAUGGCUCAUCUGCGAUACGGCAGCUCUUGAGGACAGGAGAGGGAAGCGGAAUUCCGAGUGUAGCGGUGAAAUGCGUAGAGAUUCGGAGGAACACCGGUGGCGAAGGCGGCUUCCUGGCCUGAUUCUGACGCUGAGGAGCGAAAGCCAGGGGAGCGAACGGGAUUAGAUACCCCGGUAGUCCUGGUGCUGUAAACGAUGGAUACUAGGUGUAGGAGGUAUUGACCCCUUCUGUGCCGCAGCUAACGCAAUAAGUAUCCCGCCUGGGAAGUACGGCCGCAAGGUUG
rnacentral:rRNA from 1 species